GACGAACGCUGGCGGCGUGCUUAACACAUGCAAGUCGAACGGAAAGGCCCUGCUUUUGUGGGGUGCUCGAGUGGCGAACGGGUGAGUAACACGUGAGUAACCUGCCCUUGACUUUGGGAUAACUUCAGGAAACUGGGGCUAAUACCGGAUAGGAGCUCCUGCUGCAUGGUGGGGGUUGGAAAGUUUCGGCGGUUGGGGAUAGACUCGCGGCUUAUCAGCUUGUUGGUGGGGUAGUGGCUUACCAAGGCUUUGACGGGUAGCCGGCCUGAGAGGGUGACCGGCCACAUUGGGACUGAGAUACGGACCAGACUCAUACGGGAGGCAGCAGUGGGGAAUAUUGCACAAUGGGCGGAAGCCUGAUGCAGCAACGCCGCGUGCGGGAUGACGGCCUUCGGGUUGUAAACCGCUUUCGCCUGUGACGAAGCGUGAGUGACGGUAAUGGGUAAAGAAGCACCGGCUAACUACGU
rnacentral:rRNA from 1 species